AAAACUCAAAGGAAUUGACGGGGACCCGCACAAGCGGUGGAUGAUGUGGAUUAAUUCGAUGCAACGCGAAAAACCUUACCUACCCUUGACAUGUCAGGAAUCCUGAAGAGAUUUGGGAGUGCUCGCAAGAGAGCCUGAACACAGGUGCUGCAUGGCUGUCGUCAGCUCGUGUCGUGAGAUGUUGGGUUAAGUCCCGCAACGAGCGCAACCCUUGUCAUUAAUUGCCAUCAUUCAGUUGGGCACUUUAAUGAGACUGCCGGUGACAAACCGGAGGAAGGUGGGGAUGACGUCAAGUCCUCAUGGCCCUUAUGGGUAGGGCUUCACACGUCAUACAAUGGUCGGUCCAGAGGGUUGCCAACCCGCGAGGGGGAGCCAAUCUCAGAAAGCCGAUCGUAGUCCGGAUCGCAGUCUGCAACUCGACUGCGUGAAGUCGGAAUCGCUAGUAAUCGCGGAUCAGCAUGUCGCGGUGAAUACGUU
rnacentral:rRNA from 1 species